CGGUCGAGUGGAAGGUGUCGGGGGGCUGGGGUCCAUUUUGGAAAUGAGUGCUGUUGGAUUUUUUCAGGGAUGGAAUCGGAGCCGAAUUUCCCGAUAUGCUCUAACACUAUCCUUGGAACAUGUUGGUGAGAUGCUGUCACAUCAUUAGCCCAUCGGGCAAGGGCUGACUGCCAGGCAACACACCCAGAAUGACUAUAUGAGUGAUAACAAGUCACUUAGAGACUGCUGGCUGAUCAGAAAAUCACAUUCUAGAUCUCCCUUUAUCAGAGUUGGCCUCAACACAGCUGGGUAGUGAUAUAUGGAAUAGAAUGUAGAAGAAUUUGGCAUUUCAGUAUGAUUCAAUGCCGAUUAUUUACUGAAAAGUAUAAAUGGUCUCUGAAGAACCUCUUCAGAACCUCUUGAUAUGUAUAAAUGAAUGAGUGCCUUUUAACAUGAGCUGAACUCUCCUUUAUAUGUAGAGACUCAUGGUGACGUCAAUAAAUAUUUGAUGGCUC